GAAUUUAAUAUAAUUAAUUAUGAAAAUUUAUAGAAUUAAUAUAAAUUAGUGGUAUUUAGUUGGGAGGAUUGUGAAAUUUAAUAAACUUUAAAUAAAAAUUAAGUUAUAAAUUAGUAUAAAAAAUUUUUUGAGUGAUUAUUAAAUUAAUUUAGAAUUAAUUACCUUAGGGAUAACAGCGUAAUAUUUUUAUGAAGAUCUUAUUGAUAAAAAUGAUUGC
rnacentral:rRNA from 1 species